UAUAAAUAUUCUUUGGUUUAGAAUUCUAAAACAUGGCUUUAAAUAAACCAUUAAAUGAAUUUUAAAAAAAUAUAAAACUAAAAAUAUCACAGUCAAGUACAUCAGGCUACAUAACCUCUUCUGUGCAAUGUUUUUUGUUAAUUAAGUAAAUCUCCAACAACGAUAUUAUACGGAUGGGGUGGAGAAAAUAUGAUAAAUAAAACCAUACCUUAAAAAUCCAGGCAAAACCACCACAGGAUAACCGAUACACGACCAAAAACAAACAACACCAGCCGUUGAUGAAAUGUCCAGAGUACAUUAUUGACUGCAAGAUUUCCAGUUUCUCCACGAUAGUAUAUUAU